rnacentral:rRNA from 1 species
UACGUAGGGUGCAAGCGUUGUCCGGAAUUAUUGGGCGUAAAGAGCUCGUAGGCGGCUUGUCGCGUCGGCUGUGAAAACUCGGGGCUCAACCCCGAGCCUGCAGUCGAUACGGGCAGGCUAGAGUCCGGCAGGGGAGACUGGAAUUCCUGGUGUAGCGGUGAAAUGCGUAGAUAUCAGGAGGAACACCGAUGGCGAAGGCAGGUCUCUGGGCUGACACUGACGCUCAUGCACGAAAGCGUGGGGAGCAAACAGG